AUUCAUUGGACGUUUUCCCUUAGAGGCCAAGGCCGCCCAGGCAAAGGGGCGGUCCCACGUGUGAGGGGCCCGCGGAGCCAUUUGAUUGGAGAAAAGCUGCAAACCCUGACCAAUCGGAAGGAGCCACGCUUCGGGCAUCGGUCACCGCACCUGGACAGCUCCGAUUGGUGGACUUCCGCCCCCCCUCACGAAUCCUCAUUGGGUGCCGUGGGUGCGUGGUGCGGCGCGAUUGGGUCGGUCAGAGCUGACGAUGAAGUUGAUGUGGAUGGUACAGUAGAAGAGGAUCUGGGUAAAAGUAGAGAAGGAUCAAGGACGGAUGAUGAAGUAGUACAGAGAGAGGAAGAAGCUAUUCAGUUGGAUGGAUUAAAUGCAUCACAAAUAAGAGAACUUAGAGAGAAGUCGGAAAAGUUUGCCUUCCAAGCCGAAGUUAACAGAAUGAUGAAACUUAUCAUCAAUUCAUUGUAUAAAAAUAAAGAGAUUUUCCUGAGAGAACUGAUUUCAAAUGCUUCUGAUGCUUUAGAUAAGAUAAGGCUAAUAUCACUGACUGAUGAAAAUGCUCUUUCUGGAAAUGAGGAACUAAC
rnacentral:lncRNA from 1 species